rnacentral:rRNA from 1 species
UACGUAGGGUGCGAGCGUUGUCCGGAAUUACUGGGCGUAAAGAGCUCGUAGGUGGUUUGUCGCGUUGUUCGUGAAAUCUCACGGCUUAACUGUGAGCGUGCGGGCGAUACGGGCAGACUGGAGUACUGCAGGGGGAGACUGGAAUUCCUGGUGUAGCGGUGGAAUGCGCAGAUAUCAGGAGGAACACCGGUGGCGAAGGCGGGUCUCUGGGCAGUAACUGACGCUGAGGAGCGAAAGCGUGGGGAGCGAACAGG